UACGCUUUCUUCAAUUUGGAAAGUAAUCAAUUCUCUCAAUCAAUUGAAAUCAUUCUCCAGGCAAAUUGAUUUCUCUUUACAAACAUCACACAUUUUGCUCUAGCUAUCAUCUUUCACCCACAUUCAAUUUUACAAACCCUAAUUAUCAUAUAGGGUGAUUCUCAUCAAAGUGAUUAUUGGAAGCCCUAAAUUGUAACCAGUGGAAUUGAAUCCAGCCGUCCAUUGAGAAACCCUAAAAUCUUCAGAAAAGUUUGAAGCUUGAGAGAUAGAGACAAUGGAAACAAGUGGUGGUUGGAGCCAUCCAUCCAUGUUUUAUCAUCUUUCCAUCAGUCAACAAAUGGUAAGUCGUAGGUGUUUUGAUUCAUCUGAAUUUCAAUUGAAUGUU